UUGCGCCUCCCAGUCGGAGAAGCUGCGGAAGUCGCCUCUCUCCACCACGUACAUGCGGCCGCGGUAGUUGGGCUCCUCAUAGAGGACCCACCUGAAGGCCAGAGGAAGGGCGUGUCACCGGGAGGGAACCAAGCAAGUACAGCUCCCCGGCCCCGCCCCUAGGCCCUAGCUUCUCACUGCGAGUAUCCAGCUCUUGACACAGCCUGGCACAAACGGGACAAUUCCCACUGUGGAUCCACUCAGCCAGCAGCCCUGGUGGCGCCUGUGCUCUAGUGAAAGUGAGCGAGCUGUGUUGCCUGCAUUGUACAGAGGACCUGGAGGCAGCAGGACAGAAGGUCUGGCAAGGGCACCCUUCUCUUGGGGGAUGUGUGUGUGUGUGUGUGUGUGUGUGCGCAUCAGACCUCUGGUCCUUCACAGCCCAGUGGACCAGGGAAUCAGAAAGAUUGACUGGGAAUAUCGGGUGGGUGGUCUCUUCCUGGGAAAGAAAUAAGUAAGGAAGAUAUUCUCAAGUGUAGAGAUGUAAAUGCGGGACCCAGAAGAGUCUCAUAUGGGACCCUCCCACUUGGGGGUCAGGUUUGGAGGCUGGCCUAGGGGAGCUGUAGAAAGUCGGGGAGGAGCCUCCGCCUGCACCAGAGCUGGAACCGCCCACCGUGGUCAAGGGCUGCCUCUGCAUUUAGGUCUUGAGCUCGGGAGGGGAGCCCUGCCCCUCUUUAAGCAGCGUAGAAAACAGCCUUUCUCUGGGGCAUCGUGGUCUUAGGAGGCAGGACUCUGAGAUUGCUGAGCUCAGGUCAUGGGACUACUCUGACCUCUCUGUUCGUAGGGACCGGCCUCCCACAAUGCACCUUGGCAGUUCUUGUUCAUUGGUUCCAAAGCUCUCGAGUUCUCUUUCCAGGGAGUCAACUUGGCCAGUCUGCUUGCAGAUGAACUCAGAGAAGAGAGGCCACAUAGCUCACUUCCCUGGCUCUCUACUCCAAGUCAUCACAGGCCCUCCCUUCCUCAUCCUGACCCCUCCCCUGGAAAAAGGUCUGACAAUCAGGGUCUGGUGGGAAACUAAGGAGUGUGUGUGGGGUGUCAUGCUGGAGAUCAGAGCAGAUCGAUUCCUUACAACCACAUCUCCAAGAGACUGAGCCAGUCCACCCCAUCCUGUACUGCCCCGAGCCAUCGGGGAGCAUUAUGGACACUCCAAGAAGAGAGGGAGCUGGCUGGCAGGACUGCUAACCCUCCGGCUCCUCACUUGCCUAGCUGCAACUCCUGGAGGAAAGCAGCAGAGAAAGGGGUCUCUGGAGAGGUGGCUCAGCAGCUAGGUUCUGGGAACCCACACUGCAGCUCCCAGCCGUCUGUAACUCCAGGACCGGGAAAUUCAAUGCCCACUUCUGACCCACCAGGCAUGCGUGUGAUACACAGACAUGCAUGCAGGCAAAACAAAUGUAUACAAAUAAAACUCAUUUUUAAAAUUUGGAAA